rnacentral:piRNA from 1 species
UGCUCUCCGUUGAUCUUCUCAGCUAAGAUG